UGCUGACCAACGAUGUGGGUUGCUGA
rnacentral:piRNA from 1 species